UGGCCUUGACAUACUAAGAACUUUCCAGAGAUGGAUUGGUGCCUUCGGGAACUUAGAUACAGGUGCUGCAUGGCUGUCGUCAGCUCGUGUCGUGAGAUGUUGGGUUAAGUCCGCAACGAGCGCAACCUUUUCCUUAUUUGCCAGCGGGUAAUGCCGGGAACUUUAAGGAUACUGCCAGUGACAAACUGGAGGAAGGCGGGGACGACGUCAAGUCAUCAUGGCCCUUACGGCCAGGGCUACACACGUGCUACAAUGGUCGGUACAAAGGGUUGCUACCUCGCGAGAGGAUGCUAAUCUCAAAAAGCCGAUCGUAGUCCGGAUCGCAGUCUGCAACUCGACUGCGUGAAGUCGGAAUCGCUAGUAAUCGCGGAUCAGAAUGCCGCGGUGAAUACGUUCCCGGGCCUUGUACACACCGCCCGUCACACCAUGGGAGUUUGUUGCACCAGAAGUAGGUAGUCUAACCGCAAGGAGGACGCUUACCACGGUGUGGCCGAUGACUGGGGUGAAGUCGUAACAAGGUAGGCGUAGAUGA
rnacentral:rRNA from 1 species